AAUAGAUACCCAGGUAGUCCACGCCGUAAACGAUGAGUGCUAGGUGUUGGGGGGGUUCCACCCUCAGUGCUGAAGUUAACACAUUAAGCACUCCGCCUGGGGAGUACGACCGCAAGGUUGAAACUCAAAGGAAUUGACGGGGGGCCCGCACGAAGCAGUGGAGCAUGUGGUUUAAUUCGAAGCAACGCGAAGAACCUUACCAGGUCUUGACAUCCUUUGACCACUCUAGAGAUAGAGCUUUCCCCUUCGGGGGGACAAAGUGACAGGUGGUGCAUGGUUGUCGUCAGCUCGUGUCGUGAGAUGUUGGGUUAAGUCCCGCAACGAGCGCAACCCUUGACCUUAGUUGCCAGCAUUCAGUUGGGCACUCUAAGGUGACUGCCGGUGACAAACCGGAGGAAGGUGGGGACGACGUCGAAAUCAUCAUGCCCCUUAUGACCUGGGCUACACACGUGCUACAAUGGAUGAUACAAAGGGUUGCGAAGCCGCGAGGCCAAGCCAAUCCCGAAAAAGUCAUUCUCAGUUCGGAUUGUAGG
rnacentral:rRNA from 1 species